rnacentral:rRNA from 1 species
AGUCAAUAGAUACCCAGGUAGUCCACGCCGUAAACGAUGAGUACUAGGUGUAGGAGGUAUCGACUCCUUCUGUGCCGCAGUUAACACAAUAAGUACUCCGCCUGGGAAGUACGGUCGCAAGAUUAAAACUCAAAGGAAUUGACGGGGGCCCGCACAAGCAGCGGAGCAUGUGGUUUAAUUCGAAGCAACGCGAAGAACCUUACCUAGACUUGACAUCCCCUGAAUAACGUAGAGAUACGCGAAGCCCUUCGGGGUCAGGGAGACAGGUGGUGCAUGGUUGUCGUCAGCUCGUGUCGUGAGAUGUUGGGUUAACGUCCCGCAACGAGCGCAACCCGUUAUCAUUAGUUGCUACCGAUUUAGUUGAGCACUCUAGUGAGACUGCCCGGGUU